AAGAACACACACACGUGACAAUAAUAUUAAUAAUACCACAACAUUAUCUCCUUCUCAAAACAAAAACAUAAAACUUAUCAAAUAUCAAUUCCAUAGCGAUCUGGCGGUCUAGAAAUUUGAUUCGAUCUGUACAAUUCAAUAUCUUCAGGAGCUGAAUAAACCUUUGGUGAAGAAAUAGGUGGAGUAUAUGAAGAAUCAAAAAAUAUUUAACUAUAGCAAACGACAGAAUUGCUGUUAAUUAAUUCCACUUCGUCCACCAGAAGAUCAUUCACAAAUCUUUGUAGGAUUACAGGCUCUAGAUUCAUCAACAAAGAUGGUAAAGAGAAGAUAUUCUUGGAAAUUGGAAAACUCUUUCAUGAGGAGUGUAAUUAGUGGAGG
rnacentral:lncRNA from 1 species